rnacentral:rRNA from 1 species
UUGAAGAGUUUGAUCAUGGCUCAGAUUGAACGCUGGCGGCAGGCCUAACACAUGCAAGUCGAGCGGUAGCACAGAGAGCUUGCUCUCGGGUGACGAGCGGCGGACGGGUGAGUAAUGUCUGGGAAACUGCCUGAUGGAGGGGGAUAACUACUGGAAACGGUAGCUAAUACCGCAUAACGUCGCAAGACCAAAGAGGGGGACCUUCGGGCCUCUUGCCAUCAGAUGUGCCCAGAUGGGAUUAGCUAGUAGGUGGGGUAACGGCUCACCUAGGCGACGAUCCCUAGCUGGUCUGAGAGGAUGACCAGCCACACUGGAACUGAGACACGGUCCAGACUCCUACGGGAGGCAGCAGUGGGGAAUAUUGCACAAUGGGCGCAAGCCUGAUGCAGCCAUGCCGCGUGUAUGAAGAAGGCCUUCGGGUUGUAAAGUACUUUCAGCGGGGAGGAAGGUGCUGAGGUUAAUAACCUCAGCAAUUGACGUUACCCGCAGAAGAAGCACCGGCUAACUCCGUGCCAGCAGCCGCGGUAAUACGGAGGGUGCAAGCGUUAAUCGGAAUUACUGGGCGUAAAGCGCACGCAGGCGGUCUGUCAAGUCGGAUGUGAAAUCCCCGGGCUCAACCUGGGAACUGCAUUCGAAACUGGCAGGCUAGAGUCUUGUAGAGGGGGUAGAAUUCCAGGUGUAGCGGUGAAAUGCGUAGAGAUCUGGAGGAAUACCGGUGGCGAAGGCGGCCCCCUGGACAAAGACUGACGCUCAGGUGCGAAAGCGUGGGGAGCAAACAGGAUUAGAUACCCUGGUAGUCCACGCCGUAAACGAUGUCGACUUGGAGGUUGUGCCCUUGAGGCGUGGCUUCCGGAGCUAACGCGUUAAGUCGACCGCCUGGGGAGUACGGCCGCAAGGUUAAAACUCAAAUGAAUUGACGGGGGCCCGCACAAGCGGUGGAGCAUGUGGUUUAAUUCGAUGCAACGCGAAGAACCUUACCUACUCUUGACAUCCAGAGAACUUUCCAGAGAUGGAUUGGUGCCUUCGGGAACUCUGAGACAGGUGCUGCAUGGCUGUCGUCAGCUCGUGUUGUGAAAUGUUGGGUUAAGUCCCGCAACGAGCGCAACCCUUAUCCUUUGUUGCCAGCGGUUCGGCCGGGAACUCAAAGGAGACUGCCAGUGAUAAACUGGAGGAAGGUGGGGAUGACGUCAAGUCAUCAUGGCCCUUACGAGUAGGGCUACACACGUGCUACAAUGGCGCAUACAAAGAGAAGCGACCUCGCGAGAGCAAGCGGACCUCAUAAAGUGCGUCGUAGUCCGGAUUGGAGUCUGCAACUCGACUCCAUGAAGUCGGAAUCGCUAGUAAUCGUAGAUCAGAAUGCUACGGUGAAUACGUUCCCGGGCCUUGUACACACCGCCCGUCACACCAUGGGAGUGGGUUGCAAAAGAAGUAGGUAGCUUAACCUUCGGGAGGGCGCUUACCACUUUGUGAUUCAUGACUGGGGUGAAGUCGUAACAAGGUAACCGUAGGGGAACCUGCGGUUGGAUCACCUCCUU